AAUUGCUAUAAAUAGCACUUUGUUAGCAGAGAAAACGUUUAUUCUUUCAUUAUCUUUCUUCUCUCUUUCUCAGUUCCAUCUUCUCUGCUAGGGUUCAUAAGGAGAGAUGAAUCUUCAUCUUCUCCGGUGGGCUGCCACCACGGAGCUUAGAUUCCGGCGCGGCGGCUGCCGUAACAGUACGACGGCGCCGCCGGAACACUUUUCUUCUUAUUUAUUUUUUUAUUUUUUUUGUGUUAAACACUAAAUCCACCCUCAAAACACCCAAAAUCAAACCCAAGAAACUGUUUUUCGAAUCCAAAUCCGAACCAAGACAAAAAGCAAUUAUUCAAAAUAUUUGAUCUAAGUUCUGUGAUUCGUUUUUUUGUUCUGGUAAACACACAAAAAUCAAAACAAACCCAAAAGGAAGACUUUUAAACAAAAUAGGGAAAAAAAUAUAAGUUAAGGUCGAACUAACCCUUGAAGACCAAAAGAUUCGGACUCCUCUUCUUCCCUGCUUUCUUUCUUUGAUAUAUUUUUACUCUUGUGAAAAUUUUAUGUGUUUUCUCUCAAUUGAAAUUUUCUCUUCCCCUCCUUUUUUUUCUGCGUGUGUUUUGGCUCUAUUUAUAGAGCUCUCAAGAUCAAAGUUGACCUUUGAUCUAGAGU
rnacentral:lncRNA from 1 species